AUUGAACGCUGGCGGCAGGCCUAACACAUGCAAGUCGAACGGUAACAGGAAACAGCUUGCUGUUUCGCUGACGAGUGGCGGACGGGUGAGUAAUGUCUGGGAAACUGCCUGAUGGAGGGGGAUAACUACUGGAAACGGUAGCUAAUACCGCAUAACGUCGCAAGACCAAAGAGGGGGACCUUCGGGCCUCUUGCCAUCGGAUGUGCCCAGAUGGGAUUAGCUAGUAGGUGGGGUAACGGCUCACCUAGGCGACGAUCCCUAGCUGGUCUGAGAGGAUGACCAGCCACACUGGAACUGAGACACGGUCCAGACUCCUACGGGAGGCAGCAGUGGGGAAUAUUGCACAAUGGGCGCAAGCCUGAUGCAGCCAUGCCGCGUGUAUGAAGAAGGCCUUCGGGUUGUAAAGUACUUUCAGCGGGGAUGAAGGGAGUAAAGUUAAUACCUUUGCUCAUUGACGUUACCCGCAGAAGAAGCACCGGCUAACUCCGCG
rnacentral:rRNA from 1 species